rnacentral:tRNA from 1 species
AAAGAUUUAAGUUAACUCAAACUAAUAGCCUUCAAAGCUAUAAAUAGAAGCAAGAACCUUCUACUCUUUG